rnacentral:tRNA from 2 species
CAAUAGCUCAAUUGGUAGAGCAACGGUAUCGUAAACCGUAGGUUGCAGGUUCAAUUCCUGUUUG